rnacentral:rRNA from 1 species
UAGGGAAUCUUCCACAAUGGACGCAAGUCUGAUGGAGCAACGCCGCGUGAGUGAAGAAGGGUUUCGGCUCGUAAAGCUCUGUUGUUAAAGAAGAACGUGGGUAAGAGUAACUGUUUACCCAGUGACGGUAUUUAACCAGAAAGCCGCGGCUAACUCUGUGCCAG